rnacentral:rRNA from 1 species
GUAGCGGCGAGCGAACGGGGAGCAGCCCAGAGUCUGAAUCAGCUUGUGUGUUAGUGGAACGGUCUGGAAAGUCCGACGGUACAGGGUGAUAGUCCCGUACACCAAAAUGCACAGGCUGUGAACUCGAAGAGUAGGGCGGGACACGUGGUAUCCUGUCUGAAUAUGGGGGGACCAUCCUCCAAGGCUAAAUACUCCUGACUGACCGAUAGUGAACCAGUACCGUGAGGGAAAGGCGAAAAGAACCCCGGCGAGGGGAGUGAAAAAGAACCUGAAACCGUGUACGUACAAGCAGUGGGAGCACCUUCGGGUGUGACUGCGUACCUUUUGUAUAAUGGGUCAGCGACUUAUAUUCUGUAGCAAGGUUAACCGUAUAGGGGAGCCGCAGGGAAACCGAGUCUUAACUGGGCGUUAAGUUGCAGGGUAUAGACCCGAAACCCGGUGAUCUAGCCAUGGGCAGGUUGAAGGUUGGGUAACACUAACUGGAGGACCGAACCGACUAAUGUUGAAAAAUUAGCGGAUGACUUGUGGCUGGGGGUGAAAGGCCAAUCAAACCGGGAGAUAGCUGGUUCUCCCCGAAAGCUAUUUAGGUAGCGCCUCGUGAAUUCAUCUUCGGGGGUAGAGCACUGUUUCGGCUAGGGGGUCAUCCCGACUUACCAACCCGAUGCAAACUACGAAUACCGAAGAAUGUUAUCACGGGAGACACACGGCGGGUGCUAACGUCCGUCGUGAAGAGGGAAACAACCCAGACCGCCAGCUAAGGUCCCAAAGUCAUGGUUAAGUGGGAAACGAUGUGGGAAGGCACAGACAGCCAGGAUGUUGGCUUAGAAGCAGCCAUCAUUUA